rnacentral:rRNA from 1 species
UACGAAGGGGGCUAGCGUUGCUCGGAAUCACUGGGCGUAAAGGGUGCGUAGGCGGGUCUUUAAGUCAGGGGGGAAAUCCUGGAGCUCAACUCCAGAACUGCCUUUGAUACUGAAGGUCUUGAGUUCGGGAGAGGUGAGUGGAACUGCGAGUGUAGAGGUGAAAUUCGUAGAUAUUCGCAAGAACACCAGUGGCGAAGGCGGCUCACUGGCCCGAUACUGACGCUGAGGCACGAAAGCGUGGGGAGCAAACAGG